rnacentral:rRNA from 1 species
CAGAGGGCAGCUACCCAGCGAUGGGAUGCGAAUCUCGAAAGCCUGUCUCAGUUCGGAUUGGAGGCUGAAACCCGCCUCCAUGAAGUUGGAUUCGCUAGUAAUCGCGCAUCAGCCAUGGCGCGGUGAAUACGUUCCCGGGCCUUGUACACACCGCCCGUCAAGCCAUGGAAGCUGGGGGUGCCUGAAGUUCGUGACCGGAAGGAGCGACCUAGGGCAAAACCGGUGACUGGGGCUAAGUCGUAACAAGGUACC